CAAAUGCAGGGUUAGCAUUAGUUCUUUUGAAACGUACGAAAAGCUAAGGGUAUAGAUAGUUAUUUUAGUGUGGAUUUAAUGAGGUUGGAAAAAAGCUGAAAAAAUAUUUUGGUCAGAAUUGUUUAUUUAAGGAUCCAUUUGUUUCUUAUAGAAACCAUCUAUGCAUUUCUUAUUUUAAUAUGAUCAAAAGACCAAGUGUAUAACCAUACUUUUGAAAUGUUCAAUUGAAUGUUUGAAUAACCUUUUUGCAACUGAAGGAACAACAUUAUCCAAGAUUUCAGAAAGUAUAGUAGAAGGAAAUCAAAACCUUUUUUUUAUUAUGUUACAAAAGGAAAUGGAAAAAAAAAACCAUUCAUACGAAGAUAAAUUAAUUUGAAAAUCCUCAAGUUCGUCUGUCGGUUCAGGGGGAAAGGUUGGCUUUGUAUUCAAUCAUUUGAUCACACUCUCGCUUUUAUAUUUGGAUAGAAGAGUAUUUAAGUGAAGCUAGUCAUCUCUCCAAAAAGCACUGCAAAAAUAUUUGAAGCACUGAUGCAGGAUGGAAGGCUACGAGUGCAGAUACCCUACCAAAAAGAGGAAAAGGAAAAAAAACA